AGAGAGAGAGAGAGAGAGAGAGAGAGAGAGAGAGAGAGAGAGAGAGAGGACUAUGGAGAGACACAGAUGGUCCACUACUACUACUACUACUACUAUUCUACUACUGUGUUUGUGUGCAGGCGCUUUGACCCGCGCUGCCUCUCUCCCUACGGUCACUUCUCUAUUACUAGUGACUGUAGUAAGUACUUGUCCUGUUGGGCCGGCCGAGGCUUCACACAGAGGUGUGGAAGUGGACAAAUUUUUAAUGAAGAGACGAAAGUUUGCGCGGCCGGGUCCAGAUGUCCAGGCAGGAGGUCGCCACUACCACCAACUUUACAACAAUUUAGGCUGUUAGGAGCGUUCCAAUAUGGCGGCGCGUCUGGCUGGCUUCAGGCUUUCCAAGAUGGCGGAUGGUAUGACGUCACCACGCCCCUAACUGUUGGUGGAAGAGGAGGAGGAGGAGGAGGAGGAGAAGAAGUAUGUAAAAUUUUGGGUUUUGAAGGAGCCGAGAGCAGCGAGUUACGACCACGCACGACCACUACCACCACCACCAGACCAUUGGCAACCCUGUUUUGUACGCCUGGAACAGUUGGCAACCCUGCUUGUCAAGUCACCACGUGCCUAACCUGUACACCACAAUCACCAACAUUGUUCCUAAGAUGCCGUUCGGGACCUACCACAAUCUGACCACCACCACCACCACAAUCGCUGGCCGGGCGCUGGGUUGCCUACAAACAUUAUUGCUACCUAGUGGUUGACCAUCUGCGCGCCAAUGUUGGUAGGGCGACCACCAUCUGCCGCGAU